UACGUAGGUGGCAAGCGUUGUCCGGAAUUAUUGGGCGUAAAGCGCGCGCAGGCGGUCCUUUAAGUCUGAUGUGAAAUCUCGUGGCUCAACCGCGAGCGGCCAUUGGAAACUGGGGGACUUGAGUGCAGAAGAGGAAAGCGGAAUUCCACGUGUAGCGGUGAAAUGCGUAGAGAUGUGGAGGAACACCAGUGGCGAAGGCGGCUUUCUGGUCUGUAACUGACGCUGAGGCGCGAAAGCGUGGGGGAGCAAACAGG
rnacentral:rRNA from 1 species